GCCAGUGUGGUGUAGUGGUUUGAAUGUUGGACUGUGACUCUGGAGAUCAGGGUUUGAAUCCACCUUGGUC